rnacentral:ncRNA from 1 species
AGCGUUUUUUUUUUAAUUUAAGUUAUUAAAUCUACUUCAAAAAUGAUUAGAUAUUUAUUUUAUUUAUUAUUAUAUUUAAUUUAUAUAUUUUUGCGUAUUUAUACGUGUUUAUGUUUGAUUUUUUCAUUAAAAAAAAACAGCCCACCCAGCCAGCUGACUGCUUGCUCACUGUGCUCACUGCUCAGAUGCCUCAGACGGCUCAGAGCAACUUGUCUCCGUUACCUAGGCCUGCCUAUAUGGAACGCCAUAGUGAUAAUGAAUUAAGUGCUUGAAAAUUUAGUGCUCGGUCCAAUUAAGUGCUCGAAAAUCGGGUGUCUCGGGCGGCCGGCAACGUUUACUUUGAACAAAUUAGAGUGCUCAAAGCAGGUGUAUCCCAACGCCUGAAUAUCGCAGCAUGGAAUGACGGAAUAGGACCUCGGUCCGAUUUUGCUGGUCUUUUUUUUGGACCCGAGGUAAUGGUCAAUAGAGACGGACGGGGGCAUUCGUACUACGGCGACAGAGGUGAAAUUCUUGGACCGCCGCAAGACGAACAACAGCGAAGGCAUUUGCCAAGAAUGUUUUCCUUGAUCAAGAACGAAAGUUAGAGGUUCGAAGGCGAUCAGAUACCGCCCUAGUUCUAACCAUAAACGAUGCCAACCCCUUGUUACCCUCCCAUCGUCAUUCUGAGCU